rnacentral:rRNA from 1 species
GACGGAGGAUGCAAGUGUUAUCCGGAAUCACUGGGCGUAAAGCGUCUGUAGGUGGUUUAAUAAGUCAACUGUUAAAUCUUGAGGCUCAACCUCAAAAUCGCAGUCGAAACUAUUAGGCUAGAGUAUAGUAGGGGUAAAGGGAAUUUCCAGUGGAGCGGUGAAAUGCGUAGAGAUGCGGAGGAACACCAGUGGCGAAAGCGACUUUCUGGUCCUUAACUGACGCUGAGACGCGAAAGCGUGGGGAGCAAACAGG